rnacentral:sRNA from 1 species
CAAAUAACGAUCUAAUUAAUCCGAAAACAACCCUCCUUAACUAUCAGGUGAAAGGUAUUUUUAGGAUUAACCUCAAUGCAAGAAAUAUCCAGUGCAAGGCGACAAGCAGAUUAGUCUUAUAAAUAAGCCGGCACCCGGUCCGGCUUAUUUAAUU